UUAAGCGACUAAGCGUACACGGUGGAUGCCCUGGCAGUCAGAGGCGAUGAAGGACGUGCUAAUCUGCGAAAAGCGUCGGUAAGGUGAUAUGAACCGUUACAGCCGGCGAUGUCCGAAUGGGGAAACCCAGUGCAAUUCGUUGCACUAUCGUUAACUGAAUACAUAGGUUAACGAGGCGAACCGGGGGAACUGAAACAUCUAAGUACCCCGAGGAAAAGAAAUCAACCGAGAUUCCCCCAGUAGCGGCGAGCGAACGGGGAGCAGCCCAGAGUCUGAAUCAGCUUGUGUGUUAGUGGAACGGUCUGGAAAGUCCGACGGUACAGGGUGAUAGUCCCGUACACCAAAAUGCACAGGUUGUGAACUCGAAGAGUAGGGCGGGACACGUGGUAUCCUGUCUGAAUAUGGGGGGACCAUCCUCCAAGGCUAAAUACUCCUGACUGACCGAUAGUGAACCAGUACCGUGAGGGAAAGGCGAAAAGAACCCCGGCGAGGGGAGUGAAAAAGAACCUGAAACCGUGUACGUACAAGCAGUGGGAGCACCUUCGGGUGUGACUGCGUACCUUUUGUAUAAUGGGUCAGCGACUUAUAUUCUGUAGCAAGGUUAACCGUAUAGGGGAGCCGCAGGGAAACCGAGUCUUAACUGGGCGUUAAGUUGCAGGGUAUAGACCCGAAACCCGGUGAUCAGCCAUGGGCAGGUUGAAGGUUGGGUAACACUAACUGGAGGACCGAACCGACUAAUGUUGAAAAAUUAGCGGAUGACUUGUGGCUGGGGGUGAAAGGCCAAUCAAACCGGGAGAUAGCUGGUUCUCCCCGAAAGCUAUUUAGGUAGCGCCUCGUGAACUCAUCUUCGGGGGUAGAGCACUGUUUCGGCUAGGGGGUCAUCCCGACUUACCAACCCGAUGCAAACUACGAAUACCGAAGAAUGUUAUCACGGGAGACACACGGCGGGUGCUAACGUCCGUCGUGAAGAGGGAAACAACCCAGACCGCCAGCUAAGGUCCCAAAGUCAUGGUUAAGUGGGAAACGAUGUGGGAAGGCACAGACAGCCAGGAUGUUGGCUUAGAAGCAGCCAUCAUUUAAAGAAAGCGUAAUAGCUCACUGGUCGAGUCGGCCUGCGCGGAAGAUGUAACGGGCUAAACCAUGCACCGAAGCUGCGGCAGCGACACUAUGUGUUGUUGGGUAGGGGAGCGUUCUGUAAGCCUGCGAAGGUGUGCUGUGAGGCAUGCUGGAGGUAUCAGAAGUGCGAAUGCUGACAUAAGUAACGAUAAAGCGGGUGAAAAGCCCGCUCGCCGGAAGACCAAGGGUUCCUGUCCAACGUUAAUCGGGGCAGGGUGAGUCGACCCCUAAGGCGAGGCCGAAAGGCGUAGUCGAUGGGAAACAGGUUAAUAUUCCUGUACUUGGUGUUACUGCGAAGGGGGGACGGAGAAGGCUAUGUUAGCCGGGCGACGGUUGUCCCGGUUUAAGCAUGUAGGCUGAUUGUCCAGGCAAAUCCGGAUAAUCAAGGCUGAGGUGUGAUGACGAGGCACUACGGUGCUGAAGUAACAAAUGCCCUGCUUCCAGGAAAAGCCUCUAAGCAUCAGGUAACAUUAAAUCGUACCCCAAACCGACACAGGUGGUCAGGUAGAGAAUACCAAGGCGCUUGAGAGAACUCGGGUGAAGGAACUAGGCAAAAUGGUGCCGUAACUUCGGGAGAAGGCACGCUGGUGUGUAGGUGAAGUCCCUGCGGAUGGAGCUGAGACCAGUCGAAGAUACCAGCUGGCUGCAACUGUUUAUUAAAAACACAGCACUGUGCAAACACGAAAGUGGACGUAUACGGUGUGACGCCUGCCCGGUGCCGGAAGGUUAAUUGAUGGGGUUAUCCGUAAGGAGAAGCUCUUGAUCGAAGCCCGGUAAACGGCGGCCGUAACUAUAACGGUCCUAAGGUAGCGAAAUUCCUUGUCGGGUAAGUUCCGACCUGCACGAAUGGCGUAAUGAUGGCGGCUGUCUCCACCCGAGACUCAGUGAAAUUGAACUCGCUGUGAAGAUGCAGUGUACCCGCGGCAAGACGGAAAGACCCCGUGAACCUUUACUAUAGCUUGACACUGAACAUUGAGCCUUGAUGUGUAGGAUAGGUGGGAGGCUUUGAAGCGUGGACGCCAGUCUGCGUGGAGCCAACCUGAAAUACCACCCUUUAAUGUUUGAUGUUCUAACGUUGGCCCCUGACCGGGGUUGCGGACAGUGUCUGGUGGGUAGUUUGACUGGGGCGGUCUCCUCCCAAAGCGUAACGGAGGAGCACGAAGGUUAGCUAAUCGGUCGGACAUCAGGAGGUUAGUGCAAUGGCAUAAGCUAGCUUGACUGCGAGCGUGACGGCGCGAGCAGGUGCGAAAGCAGGUCAUAGUGAUCCGGUGGUUCUGAAUGGAAGGGCCAUCGCUCAACGGAUAAAAGGUACUCCGGGGAUAACAGGCUGAUACCGCCCAAGAGUUCAUAUCGACGGCGGUGUUUGGCACCUCGAUGUCGGCUCAUCACAUCCUGGGGCUGAAGUAGGUCCCAAGGGUAUGGCUGUUCGCCAUUUAAAGUGGUACGCGAGCUGGGUUUAGAACGUCGUGAGACAGUUCGGUCCCUAUCUGCCGUGGGCGCUGGAGAAUUGAGGGGGGCUGCUCCUAGUACGAGAGGACCGGAGUGGACGCAUCACUGGUGUUCGGGUUGUCAUGCCAAUGGCACUGCCCGGUAGCUAAAUGCGGAAGAGAUAAGUGCUGAAAGCAUCUAAGCACGAAACUUGCCCCGAGAUGAGUUCUCCCUGAGACUUUAAGUCUCCUGAAGGAACGUUGAAGACGACGACGUUGAUAGGCCGGGUGUGUAAGCGCAGCGAUGCGUUGAGCUAACCGGUACUAAUGAACCGUGAGGCUUAACCU
rnacentral:rRNA from 1 species